rnacentral:rRNA from 1 species
ACGAACGCUGGCGGCAGGCUUAACACAUGCAAGUCGAACGCCCCGCAAGGGGAGUGGCAGACGGGUGAGUAACGCGUGGGAACAUACCCUUUUCUACGGAAUAGCUCUGGGAAACUGGAAUUAAUACCGUAUACGCCCUACGGGGGAAAGAUUUAUCGGGGAAGGAUUGGCCCGCGUUGGAUUAGCUAGUUGGUGGGGUAAUGGCUUACCAAGGCGACGAUGCGUAGCUGGUCUGAGAGGACGAUCAGCCACACUGGAACUGAGACACGGUCCAGACUCCUACGGGAGGCAGCAGUGGGGAAUCUUGCGCAAUGCACGAAAGUGUGACGCAGCAACGCCGCGUGCGGGAAGAAGGUCUUCGGAUCGUAAACCGCUUUCAGUUGGGACGAGGGUUGCGCGGUGAAUAGCCGUUGUGACUGACGGUACCUUCAGAAGAAGCCCCGGCUAACUACGUGCCAGCAGCCGCGGUAAUACGUAGGGGGCGAGCGUUAUCCGGAAUCAUUGGGCGUAAAGCGCGUGUAGGCGGUUCGGUAAGUCCGCUCUGAAAGCCCAGGGCUCAACCCUGGGAGGCGGGUGGAUACUACCGGACUAGAGUACGGAAGAGGAGAUUGGAAUUCCUGGUGUAGCGGUGGAAUGCGCAGAUAUCAGGAGGAACACUGGUGGCGAAGGCGGGUCUCUGGGCAGUAACUGACGCUGAGGAGCGAAAGCGUGGGGAGCGAACAGGAUUAGAUACCCUGGUAGUCCACGCCGUAAACGGUGGGUACUAGGUGUGGGUUUCCUUCCUUGGGAUCCGUGCCGUAGCUAACGCAUUAAGUACCCCGCCUGGGGAGUACGGCCGCAAGGCUAAAACUCAAAGGAAUUGACGGGGGCCCGCACAAGCGGCGGAGCAUGUGGAUUAAUUCGAUGCAACGCGAAGAACCUUACCUGGGUUUGACAUGCACAGGACGCUGGUAGAGAUAUCAGUUCCCUUGUGGCCUGUGUGCAGGUGGUGCGUGGCUGUCGUCAGCUCGUGUCGUGAGAUGUUGGGUUAAGUCCCGCAACGAGCGCAACCCUUGUCUCAUGUUGCCAGCACGUUAUGGUGGGGACUCGUGAGAGACUGCCGGGGUCAACUCGGAGGAAGGUGGGGAUGACGUCAAGUCAUCAUGCCCCUUAUGUCCAGGGCUUCACACAUGCUACAAUGGCCGGUACAAAGGGCUGCGAUGCCGUGAGGUGGAGCGAAUCCUUUCAAAGCCGGUCUCAGUUCGGAUCGGGGUCUGCAACUCGACCCCGUGAAGUCGGAGUCGCUAGUAAUCGCAGAUCAGCAACGCUGCGGUGAAUACGUUCCCGGGCCUUGUACACACCGCCCGUCACGUCAUGAAAGUCGGUAACACCCGAAGCCGGUAGCCUAACCCUUGUGGAGGGAGCCGUCGAAGGUGGGAUCGGCGAUUGGGACG